rnacentral:rRNA from 1 species
ACGGCUCAGUAACACGUAGCUAACCUACCCUUAGGUCAUGGAUAACCUCGGGAAACUGAGGCUAAUACUUGAUAGAAAAUAUUUUCUGGAAUGUAAUAUUUUUGAAAUUCGAGCCUAAGGACGGGGCUGCGGCUGAUUAGGUAGUUGUUGGGGUAAAAGCCUAACAAGCCAAUUAUCAGUAAGGGCUCUUAGCGGAGAAGCCCUGAGAAGGAAUCUGAGACACUGUUCCUAGCCUUACGGGGUGCAGCAGUCGAGGAAAUUUUACAAUGCUCGCAAGAGUGAUAAAAUAAGCCAGAGUGUUUCUCCUAGAGAAACUUUUUUUUGAUGUAAAAAAUCAGAAGAAUAAGGACUGGGCAAGACCGGUGCCAGCCGCCGCGGUAAUACCGGCGGUCCAAGUCGUAUCCACAUUUAUUAGGUCUAAAACAUUCGUAGCUUGUUUUGUAAGUUUCUUGUGAAAUCUGAUAUCUCAAAUAUCAGGCGUGCAAGAAAUACUACAUUGCUAGAGACCGGAAGACGUAAAGAGUACAAUUAAGGUAGCGGUAAAAUGUGUUAAUCUUAAUUGGACUAACAAUGGCGAAGGCACUUUACGAGUACGGUUCUGACAGUGAGGGAUGAAGGCUAGGGGCGCAAAAGGGAUUAGAUACCCCUGUAGUCCUAGCAGUAAACACUGCUCACUAAACAUUAGUACCUCCUCGAGAGGUAUUAGUGCUGUAGAGAAGUCGAAGAGUGAGCUACCUGGGAAGUAUAGUCGCAAGGCCGAAACUUAAAGGAAUUGGCGGGGGAGCAC